rnacentral:misc_RNA from 1 species
GAUGAAGAACGCAGCGAAAUGCGAUAGGUAAUGUGAAUUGCAGAAUUCAGUGAAUCAUCGAAUCUUUGAACGCACCUUGCGCUCCCUGGUAUUCCGGGGAGCACGCCUGUUCGAGUGUCGCGAAAUUCUUCAAGCCUUGGAUGGAUUUUUUUUUGUCUGUCCUUGGGCUUGGUUGUUGGGCUCUGCCGUGUCCUUCAUUGGGACGGCUGGCCUUAAAAGCAUUAGCCGAUCCUCGUGUGGUACUGGUUCUACUCAGCGUGAUAACAAUCUGAUCGUUGAGGACAUCUUCUGGAUGGCCAGUCAUCAUUUGGGUUGCUUCUAAACCGGUUUCGCAGAUUGCUCAAUCUGUGUGCCACUUUUCAGCUUUGACCUCGAAUCAGGUGGGACUACCCGCUGAACUUAAGCAUAUCAAUAAGCGGAGGA